AUACUGAGUGGCAAACGGGUGAGUAUAAUGUGGGAAUCUGCCUUUUGGUUCGGAAUAACACGAGGAAACUUGUGCUAAUACCGGAUAAGCCCUUACGGGGAAAGUUUUAAUGCCAAAAGAUGAGCCCGCACUUGAUUAGCUAGUUGGUAAGGUAAUGGCUUACCAAGGCAACGAUCAAUAGCUGUUCUUAGAGGAAGACCAGCCACAUUGGGACUGAGACACGGCCCAAACUCCUACGGGAGGCAGCAGUGGGGAAUCUUGCACAAUGGGGGAAACCCUGAUGCAGCGAUGCCGCGUGAGUGAAGAAGGCCCUUGGGUUGUAAAACUCUUUCGUCGGGGAAGAAAAUGACUGUACCCGAAUAAGAAGGUCCGGCUAACUUCGUGCCAGCAGCCGCGGUAAUACGAAGGGACCUAGCGUAGUUCGGAAUUACUGGGCUUAAAGAGUUCGUAGGUGGUUAAAAAAGUUGAUGGUGAAAUCCCAAGGCUCAACCUUGGAACUGCCAUCAAAACUUUUUAGCUAGAGUGUGAUAGAGGAAAGUGGAAUUUCUAGUGUAGAGGUGAAAUUCGUAGAUAUUAGAAAGAACAUCAAAAGCGAAGGCAACUUUCUGGAUCAUUACUGACACUGAGGAACGAAAGCAUGGGUAGCGAAGAGGAUUAGAUACCCUCGUAGUCCAUGCCGUANACGAUGUGUGCUAGACGUUGGAAACUUAGUUUUCAGUGUCGCAGCGAAAGCAUUAAGCACACCGCCUGGGGAGUACGACCGCAAGGUUAAAACUCAAAUGAAUUGACGGGGACCCGCACAAGUAGUGGAGCA
rnacentral:rRNA from 1 species